GUAAGGUCGUCAGAUGUUAAUGUAUGUGUUGUGUGUAUGAGAUAGGCUGGGAGAGCAGCGGAAGUGGUUUAGACGCCGUCAGAGAAGGGAUGAUUGGAAAUGGUGGUUAGACGCCGUCAGAGAAGCGAUGAUUGGAAACGGUGCAGGACCGCCGUGUUUGCGAACUGGAUAGGGCACGAUGGAGCCUGCUGCCAUGUUUUCUGACUUGGUUACCUUUCACUGAGAGGAGGAGGAGCUCGUGUGGGCACGAAGAGCUAGGAGGAAGGGAAGAAAAGCCUGCAAGUUUUAAAUGUUGACUCUGAAACCCAUAAGAUUUCAAGAAGAGCCAGGCGGUGGUGGCGCACGCCUUUAAUCCCAGCGCUCGGGAGGCAGAGGCAGGUGGAUCUCUGUGAGUUUGAGGCAGCCUGGUCUACAGAGCGAGUUCCAGGACAGCCUCCAAAACAAUACAGAGAAACCCUGUCUGGAAAAAAAAAAGAUUUCAAGAAGAAGUGUAAGGAGGGUGAUUGUACAAACAACCCUGCAGCCAAGAAGCAGGGUCAUAAGUGGAAGCACGAGGAGCCACGGUGUACGGCAGGCAUCCAAACCCACGGGCUGGAGGACGACAGAGGGACAGGAGGGGCUUGGGAAGCAGGAGCGUCAGUGUCCAGGAAACCCAGGAAGAUGAGUCAAAUCAACAAUGGAUAAGAGGAGCUGUGCAGAUGUGGAAUGACUGUGGUCUUGAUAAAAAGUUAUUUUAAUAGCACAGUAUUCACAGACGCUCGACCAUAGCCGAGAGAGAGGUAAUGACGAGUAACAGCAGGGAACAUCAGCAACUUAUAAAUGCUGCCCCAAGGUGCACAGCAAACUGCAGUCCUCAGAGAGGGACCAAAGGCAAAGACUGUUCUGUGAGCUGAUUUCUCAUCGCGGAUGGUAUUUGCACGUCAGCUCACACGGGUAUAGGUAUUCUCACUGAACCUUGAGCCCGUGGAUUCAGCGGCAUUGGCUGGCCAGCAAGCCCCAGGCAUCCUAUUCCUGCCUCGGCAACCUUCCCGUCCCCAGCACCGGCUUUUCCGUGAGUCCUGAGCAUGGAGUUCAUGCCCACAUCCUCGCAGCAAGCCCUUUACUGACUGAGUCAUCUCUACAGCCCACUGUGUGCCGUGUUCGAGUGGGGGGGAAGGGACACACUUGACCUUGGUCCCAUGCCUUCUCGACCUACCAUAAAUCUUAAACUAUUUUAAGAAGCUGGAAAAUUACAAACAUACCAAUAUCUCCAUCAUGAGGUUUCAGGAAAAUUAAGUGAUUUUACGUGCAUGUGAAAAGUUUUUAGAACAAUACCUCGCAUACACUAGGCACUGCGUUAAAUGUGCCUGUUACACAAAGGGAGCCUCCAUUGUAUCUGAUUUAUUUUUAUUUUAUGCGUUUAUUCCCCAAAGGACAACCAAAUAUCUCUUGCUCAUUUAUUUAAAUUGUUUUAGAUUUACUUUAUCAUGUGUGUUCGGGUGUUAGCCUGAGUGUGUGGCUGUGUACCUUGUGUGUGUCUGGAGACCGCAGAGGCCAGAAGAAGGUGUCAGAGCCCCAGGAACUGGAGUUACAGAUGGCUGUGAUUCGCUGUGUGGGUGCUGGAAACUGAACCUGGGUCCUCUGCAAGAGCAGCCAGCAUCCCGGUGGCUGAAACAAUGUCUCCAGUUCCGUAUUUAAUCAUUAGGCAUAGUGCAAUAGUUCUGCUGUGUCUACAGAGACACAUGCUAUAUGUUUAUAGUUUAGAAUAGUAUUGGGUCCUAAUACUCUCUCUACAAAUGUUCAUUUGAUUGUUAGGCAUAGUAUGAAUAGUCCCGAUGUGCCUACAGACACACAUGCUAUGCAUUUGUAGUGUGGAAUAGUAUCGGGGCCGAAUACUCUAUGAAUGUUCACGUGUGGUGAUAUCUUGCUUGUACAAAUAAGUGCAUUCGUGUAACGGUCUCCCAGUGCUAACACCUUAUGUGGCCAUGGCACAUUUGUCAAAACCAUCAACCGACCUCUGGGUUCACUGAUGUUCACACUAAUGUUCCUCUGGUCCAGGUCUUAUGACACUCAACAAUCAUGACUUCUAGAUUCCUCCCCUCCUGAGUCUUUGUGACUUUUAUGACCUUGAUGGCUGUGAAGAGAAUCGAUCAGGUUGUGCAGCACGUCCCUCGAGAGGUCUGGCCGAUGUUUCCCCACAAUCUAGCUGGGAGGAUCCCUCGAGAGGUCUGGCUGAUGUUUCCCCACAAUCUAGCUGGGAGGAUCUGGGAACGAAUCCCAGAGAAAUGAAGGACCAACACCAUCAGGUGUUACCAGAGUCCACACACACACGGAAACGUGACCUGCACUGUCCCAUCAUGGUGUCUCCAGCCCAGUGUCUUCACUGUAAAUUACCUCUUUUUUUCCCCCUUCCAAACUUAUUUUUCUUUUCAAUCUGUGAAAGAAAGUCACUAUUUGGAGCCCGUACUGAGAAGAGUUAAGCUCCACCUCUGAUGCAGGGGUACACAUAUGUACACAUAGCCAUGUGAUUCUCAUAUAUGUGUGUAUGUGGAGACAUAUGUUUUGUUGUUUUUCAGACAGGGCUUUGAGCUUGCCGCUGAGUCAGAGAUGACUGUGAGCACAUGAUGCUCCUUUCCUCAUCCUGAGUGCCGGUGAGCGCCAGCAAUUCAGUGCAUGGUAGGCAGACACUCUGAUGGGGGACGUCCUUCUGUGUAUGUGUUUCUCUUAUUGGUUGGUGCAUAAAACACUGUUUGGCCAAUACAGGCAGGAUGAUAGUUGGGACUAGGAGACGAGGAGAAUUCUGGGGAAGGUAGGCAGAGAGAGACCAUGAGGGGACGCCAUGUAGAGUCUGGGAGGAUAGGACGGGCCAGGCAUUGUCUGGUAAGAUAAGACCAUGUGGAAACACUUAGUUUAAUACAAGUGGGUUAGUAAUUAAGGUAAUUAAGACAGAGCUAGCCAAUAAGAAGCCCUAGCCAUCGGCCAACAGGAACAGGCGGGGCAAGAAAAGUCCAGCAACAGCACUCUACCGACUGAGCCGUGGUCCCAGAUCUCUGAGAAAGCUAUAGGAAAUUGUGCUGUAGUUUGCCAUGGUUUGUCUUCAAGUGUUGGAAGAUGGGUGGUCAUAUCAGGAGAGGUGUGGACCCUUGAGAGGUGGGGCCUAGAGGAGUUCCUUAGGACACCAGGGACAACAACCUGGUAGUUCUCUCAUCACUUCUGAGUCUGUGUUCUCAAAGGCCCUGGCAUAAAUGAUGGAGUUUUUAUCUGGUGCUGCCAGGCACCCUGAGAGCCAAGCUGAUGCUGGUACUGUGCGCUAGGCCUUGAACCUGGACACCCGGAAGGUGCUUAUUGACACAUCAAAGCCGACGCCAGCCACCAGGCUCUCAGCACCACCGGGACCUGGCACACCUCUACCCCGGGUUGGGCUUCCAAUCCCGAAGCUCCUCUGGCCCCAUGUGCCACGCCACUCUUCUGGCUUCCAACUCGCUUGGUCCCCAGCUCCCCCUUGGUCUCCUGGACUCUUGGCAUUCCUUCUCUUCCCUCCCUCACCAGCCUCCCCCCUCCUCUCAUGACUGGUUCAGUCGUCCAGCAAGGUCCAGUCUGGACUCUCCCAGACACCCUCUCCUCUCAUGCUGCCCCACAUAUCGGUGACAGCCUCCGUCAUACUUCAGGGGUAGUCGUCCUUUCCUCUCUCUCUUUGUUGUUCAACUGUGCCCUUCUCCAAAGCUGUGACCCUAGUAAAGUCAUUCUUUACAAGUGACCCAGUCUCAGGCAACAGAUCACACUGACGCCCACGAGAGGCUGUGAGAGACACAAGGUUUGAUGGUGAUGACCGUCUCUCCCCACACUCGGAAGCGCGUGGCCUCUGCUACCCUGGGCGGAUGAGGCGCCUCACACCAGCACGUUCAUGGCACAAAGACACUUCUGAGUUAGACUUGGUGAUACCUGCUGGCCCCAAAACUCAAGCUGAAAAGCCGCAGGCCCUCCCGAGGUGACAGAAAUUGUCAUGACACUUAGCGUGUCAUGCCUGACAUUGAACUGGUUAAAGCCAUCUGAGGGUUUUCUGUUACCCUCCUUCCAUCUUUGGUGGCUCAGUGGUGGGUGAGCAGCACUCUCCCGCACUGGUUCACCCUUCUGUACCAAAAGGACGGAGGCUGAGGCCCGCUGUCCAGUCAGUGAACAUUUUUAUCACACCCCGUCAGCAACGAAUCUGUCUCCUUCUUGCUCUUCUGUUCUGAGUAUAUUAAACGCUUAUAUGUAUGUA